UUUUUUUUUUUUAAUUUUUACUUAAGUAAUCUCUACACGCAAUGUGGGGCUCAAACUCAAGACCCCAAGAUCAAGAGUUGCAUGCUCUUCUGACUGAGCCAGCCAGACGCCCGUUUUAUACUUUUUAAACAGAUAUACCUAGAAUCCACCCUGCACGUUUCCUAGGUUCUAAUUCAAAAAUUUGUUUUAAGAUUUUAUUUAUUUUCUUGACAGAGCAGAAGUAAGGUGAGCAGGAGAGGAGGAAGGCAGGGAGCUGAUGCCAGGACCCUGGGAUCAUACCUGAGCCAAAGGCAGAUGCUUAACCAACUGAACCACCCAGGCCUUUUGACACAAAUUAAGAAGAUCUUACUGUUUGUUUGAUAUAUAUGCCACUGUUCUGCCCCAGGUUCAGACAAAAAAGGGUGCCCUGUGUGUAGAAAAUUUUAUUAUUUUUUAAAAUAUGGAACGCUUGGGAUCCCUGGGUGGCGCAGCGGUUUGGCGCCUGCCUUUGGCCCAGGGUGCGAUCCUGGAGACCCGGGAUCGAAUCCCACAUCGGGCUCCCGGUGCAUGGAGCCUGCUUCUCCCUCUGCCUGUGUCUCUGCCUCCCUCUCUCUCUCUCUCUCUGUAACUAUCAUAAAAAAAAAUAAAAAUAAAAAAAAAUAAAAAAUAUGGAACGCUUUACGAAUUUGAGUGUCAUCCUUGCUCAUGGGCCAUGUUAAUCUUCUCUGUAUCGUUCCAAUUUUAGUAUGUGUGCUGCUGAAGCAAGUAAUGUGUAUAGAGAAUUUUAAAACAAUAAUAAACCAACUAAAUGUCUUCUGCUUUUUAUUAUCAAAAUGUGCUGGCAAUUGUAAAAAUGUCAGUGAUGAAUUCCUCCAUUCUGCUGGGGUUGCUUUAUCACCAGCCUCUUUUUCUUGAAAUGCCGUUAGGUUAUUUCCUCUAGGAACUGAACAGUUAUUUCUCUUCAUGGGCCAUGAGGAGUUUAACUCUCUUUAUGGGCCUGGAGAUGAGGAGGGGAAACAGGAGUUCUUCUUCAGGAUAAUAGGCAGUCCCUUGUGAUAUAACUGACCCAGGAGAAAUUUCCGAAUGACUUUUAUAUGAGAGAAGGUAGCUUUCUCCGCAGAGGAAAGGUAGCAAGGUUCAGAGGGACUUGGGAUUUGGGCUUUGUCUUACACUGACCAAAGGUCUUGAUCUGUUUUAUUCCUUUUCAAACAGUGCUCUAACUUUAGAAUAAGAGACUUGGCAAGGCUGUGCUUUUAGCUAGGCAUUGAAACUCUAAAACCUGCACAAUUAAGUUUUGGGGACUAAUACUCAGUCAUUUCAGUCCAAAUUGUUCAGUCCCUGCAACUGCACAAGAUAAGGAAUCCUUUUGAGACUGCCAUAGAAGGUUUCUGGUUCUUCAUCUCUACCUUAUUUUGAGAUUUCACAGCUUUAAGCUUAUUUUUCCCCCUCUGUAAGAUCUUUAACGCAGUCAGAAAUAGCCAUCCACUUCACAAUCUUUUGUAGUCCCCACUGCUGUCAUCAAGAGUUACCCAACCAACAAAAGUUUUGUUCCCUACUUGGCAUUCUAUCCCAUGCCAUCAUCAGUGAUAAUCUGAAUAAUCUUGUUGCCAGUGCAUUGCACAGACUAUCAAGGACAGAUGUCAUUUAUGAGGCUGUCAAAUCUGUGUUUAACCUGGUCCAGAAUUCCAUCUUGUUUCAAGGGGCCAUACUUGUUUUGAAAAUAGUAUUUAACCCAGAUUGUUAUGAAGGAACUAUACACAGAGGUAUGAGCAGGGUUAAGAGAUCAACAAGGGAUGCUGAAAUAUCCAGAGACCAGCAGCAGGGGAAACCAUUAGCACUCCUAGACCUGAAAGGUCAAGGGGAGAAAAUAAUAAUAAUAAUAAUAUUACUGUUGCUCAGAAGGCUGGAUUAUCAUGGGAGGAGACUACCUCAGAAGCUGUAGGUAGAAAGGGAUAUGGAGCCUGUGGGAUAACAUAGCUUAGAGCUGAGUGAGGCUGACUUCUCAGCCUCAGCAUACCAAUGUUUCCUAUUGGUGGAACCCAAUAGGAAGCAAGUUUAUAAGGAAGCCUAGGUGGUGUAGUCUGUAGGAAUUAGCUCCAACAGUCACAAUACAGGGCAGAGAAUGACAGGAUGAUCUGAGGAUAUGUGGGAAGGGUGUAAGAAUGAAGAACAAUCAGCAAAAAAUAUGUUUCCAUUCCUAAUUAUUUCUUUUCAGUAAAAUGGAAAGAGGACCUAAUCGAGA
rnacentral:lncRNA from 1 species